AGCGAACGCUGGCGGCAGGCUUAACACAUGCAAGUCGAGCGCUCGUAGCAAUACGGGAGCGGCAGACGGGUGAGUAACACGUGGGAACGUGCCUUUUGGUUCGGAACAACUGAGGGAAACUUCAGCUAAUACCGGAUAAGCCCUUACGGGGAAAGGAAUUUAUUCGCCAAAAGAAUCGGCCCGCGUCUGAUUAGCUAGUUGG
rnacentral:rRNA from 1 species